rnacentral:rRNA from 1 species
UACGUAGGGUGCAAGCGUUGUCCGGAUUUAUUGGGUUUAAAGGGUGCGUAGGCGGGCUAUUAAGUCAGUGGUGAAAUCCAGCAGCUUAACUGUUGAUGUGCCAUUGAUACUGGUAGCCUUGAGUACAGAUGAGGUAGGCGGAAUUGACAGUGUAGCGGUGAAAUGCAUAGAUAUUGUCAAGAACUCCGAUAGCGAAGGCAGCUUACUGGGCUGUAACUGACGCUGAUGCACGAAAGCGUGGGGAGCAAACAGG